rnacentral:rRNA from 1 species
AACGUAGGUGGCGAGCGUUAUCCGGAUUUACUGGGCGUAAAGGGUGUGCAGGCGGGGUAUCAAGUGGGGUAUGAAAGGAGGCGGCUCAACUGCCUCAUGUUAUGCCAGACUGAUGCUCUUGAGGACCAAACAGGGCUGUGGAAUUCCGGGUGUAGUGGUGAAAUGCGUAGAGAUGUGGAGGAACACCGAUGGCGAAGGCAGCCCCCUGGGCUAACACUGACGCUCAGGCACGAAAGCGUGGGGAGCAAACAGG